CCUACGGGGGGCAGCAAUGGGGGAUAUUGCACAAUGGGGGAAACCCUGAUGCAGCGACGCCGCGUGGGUGAAGAAGCGCCUCGGCGCGUAAAGUCCUGUCAGCAGGGAAGAAAAUGACGGUACCUGAAGAAGAAGCCCCGGCUAACUACGUGCCAGCAGCCGCGGUAAUACGUAGGGGGCAAGCGUUAUCCGGAUUUACUGGGUGUAAAGGGGGCGCAGACGGCGAUGCAAGCCAGGAGUGAAAGCCCGGGGCCCAACCCCGGGACUGCUCUUGGAAAUGCGUGGCUAGAGUGCAGGAGGGGCAGGCGGAAUUCCUGGUGUAGCGGUGAAAUGCGUAGAUAUCAGGAGGAACACCGGUGGCGAAGGCGGCCUGCUGGACUGCAACUGACGUUGAGGCCCGAAAGCGUGGGGAGCAAACAGGAUUAGAUACCCGAGUAGUC
rnacentral:rRNA from 1 species